CCCUGAGGGCUCAAAGAAGGGGAAACAGAGGUCCAGACAAGUGCAGAUUUUGUUGAAGCUGGUGAGCUCUGCCUACAUGAGGACAGUUGCUCACCGGUGACCUCAGCAGCAUCCUCCAACACAUCCACCUCUAGUUUCCUGGCAUCUUUAACUGAAGCACUUUCAGCCUGGCUCGUGAGCACACUCCUCCCCUGAGCCUCAUGAGCAGUUCAGGACAACACAGACAAGCUAGGCUAUCUACAAGAAUCAUACUUGGAUUUGAAAGGAGGGCAAUAAGGAGCGGAGGCGCCAACUGCUCAGACGGCACAGCGUUCCUGGGUGCUCUGUGCAAGACCUCAGGACCACAUUAUCUGCCGAGCUUCCCAUAAAUCUGAACUUAGUCACCGGUGACUUCGGUUAGUCGUCACAAAUGUAGUUAGGGAAGAGCUGCUCGGCCCAGAUUUUGCAGGGGUGAGGGUGUGGAAAUAAUCUUUAAAAUUCAGCUAUAUAAAACAUGUGCUGUAAUAAAAUGUAACUGCAGAACAUCAG